GACUUCUCUGGUGACAGCCAAGGACUUCAAAUCUCUCAAGGGGCACAA
rnacentral:tRNA from 13 species